rnacentral:rRNA from 1 species
UACGUAGGGGGGCAAGCGUUUGUCCGGAAUCAUUGGGCGUAAAGAGCGUGUAGGCGGCCUGAUAAGUCGGCUGUGAAAGUCAAGGGCUCAACCCUUGAAUGCCGGCCGAUACUGUCAGGGCUAGAGUCCGGAAGAGGCGAGUGGAAUUCCUGGUGUAGCGGUGAAAUGCGCAGAUAUCAGGAGGAACACCGAUGGCGAAGGCAGCUCGCUGGGACGGUACUGACGCUGAGACGCGAAAAGCGUGGGGGGAGCGAAACAGG